rnacentral:rRNA from 1 species
UACGGAGGGUGCGAGCGUUGUCCGGAUUUACUGGGCGUAAAGAGCGCGCAGGCGGUCGUUCAAGUCGAGUGUGAAAGCCCCCGGCUCAACUGGGGAGGGUCACUCGAUACUGAUCGACUCGAAGGCAGGAGAGGGAAGUGGAAUUCCCGGUGUAGUGGUGAAAUGCGUAGAUAUCGGGAGGAACACCAGUGGCGAAGGCGACUUUCUGGCCUGUUCUUGACGCUGAGGCGCGAAAGCUAGGGUAGCAAACGGG